CACCUCGAAGUGGCACACAGCCUGAGUACCGAGAGCUGCAUCACUUGUUUUCGUCGUUUCGUCGCGCGCCGUGGAGCACCUCUAGAAGUUUAUAGUGACAACGGCACCAAUUUUCAAGGUGCCGAGAAACUGCUUAAAGAGCAAAUCAACAACGGAUUAGCAGAGACCUUUACAAACUCCAACACCAAGUGGUGCUUCAAUCCGCCGUCAGCCCCGCACAUGGGCGGAGCUUGGGAAAGGAUGGUGCGCUCCGUGAAAGCCGCUAUCGAGAACAUCGACACUGGCCGUAAGUUAAACGAUGAAGGAUUGCUAACAUUGCUGGCGGAAGCGGAGAGUAUUGUCAACUCUCGACCGCUGACCUACCUACCGUUGGAAUCGGAAGAACAAGAAGCUCUAACACCGAACCACUUCUUACUCGGAAGCUCAAAAGGAGUCAAGCAACCGCCAAAGAACCCCACCGAUCAUCGUGAAGCAGUUUCGAACAACUGGAAGCAGAUAUGUCAUCAGUUGGACAUCUUUUGGCACCGUUGGCUGAAAGAAUACUUGCCGACCAUCUGCCGGCGGACUAAAUGGUUCUGCGAUACCAAGCCCAUCGAAGUGGGAGACUUAGUACUUGUAGCGGAGGCCUCAAAACGGAACAGCUGGAUUCGUGGACGAGUAACCGAAAUGCAGCCAGGGCCAGACGGACGGGUGCGGCGAGCAACUGUGCAAACAAGUACAGGGUUUAUGAGAAGGCCGGCGUGCAAGCUGGCUGUACUAGACGUGAUAUCUUCUGGUAAAACUGCUUUGAACACGCAGUGUUACGGAGGCGGGAAUGUUGCUGCAUCGCCACGCCUCACUGUACAGCCGACUGAGUCCGGCUCUGAUAGAGUCACUCACACUAACCCAUGUGAUAAGGGGAUAUCGAUGACAGCAGGACGCAACGAUGAUAAUGCAAUAACAACAAAACCGUAAUCAAAAGUUACCUCAACGUGGUGAUCUACGAGUGUCUAUCUAAACCUAAAUUAAAAUUAAUUUGAUUAUCCUAAAACAUCAGUUAUAGUUAUAAGUUAUUAUUGCUACUGAAUUCGUAUCAUACGCUGUUGUGGAUUUCUUAUACUAAAGGUAGUGUACGAAAGCUUAGGUCGAGAAUAUUCGAGCCGCAUAAUUACUGAAAAAGCGAAUUGUAUUAAGCUUCGUCCAGUAAACACUAACUGAUCCUUAUUCAAACUUAACCUAAGAAUACUAAGCCUACACCAAAUUGUAAGUAUUGUACAGUAGAUUGUCUGAUUUCCUCCUUAAUAUUGAAAUAUAUUUUAGCUUGAGCUGUUCUAUAAAGCUGAAAGAAAGUGUAGCCACUUGGUGUUUU